GAUGAACGCUAGCGAUAGGCUUAACACAUGCAAGUCGAGGGGCAGCAUGGUCUUAGCUUGCUAAGACUGAUGGCGACCGGCGCACGGGUGCGUAACGCGUAUGCAACUUGCCUCACAGAGGGGGAUAACCCGUCGAAAGACGGACUAAUACCGCGUACACUCCAUCUUGGGCAUCCAAGGUAGAGGAAAUGAAAUUCGCUGUGAGAUAGGCAUGCGUCCCAUUAGCUAGUUGGUGAGGUAACGGCUCACCAAGGCGACGAUGGGUAGGGGAACUGAGAGGUUGAACCCCCACACUGGUACUGAGACACGGACCAGACUCCUACGGGAGGCAGCAGUGAGGAAUAUUGGUCAAUGGGCGAGAGCCUGAACCAGCCAAGUCGCGUGAAGGAUGACUGUCUUAUGGACUGUAAACUUCUUUUAUACGGGAAUAACAAGAGUCACGUGUGACUCCCUGCAUGUACCGUAUGAAUAAGCAUCGGCUAACUCCGUG
rnacentral:rRNA from 1 species